UUAAAAGAAUUGAUUUGGCC
rnacentral:siRNA from 1 species